rnacentral:rRNA from 1 species
UACGUAGGGUGCAAGCGUUAAUCGGAAUUACUGGGCGUAAAGCGUGCGCAGGCGGUUGUGCAAGACAGAUGUGAAAGCCCGGGGCUUAACCCCGGGUCUGCAGUGGGUACGGGCGGGCUAGAGUGCGGUAGGGGAGACUGGAAUUCCUGGUGUAGCGGUGAAAUGCGCAGAUAUCAGGAGGAACACCGGUGGCGAAGGCGGGUCUCUGGGCCGAUAUUGACGCUGAGGAGCGAAAGCGUGGGGAGCAAACAGG